rnacentral:rRNA from 1 species
UACGUAGGGUCCAAGCGUUGUCCGGAUUUAUUGGGCGUAAAGAGCUCGUAGGCGGUUUCGUAAGUCGGAUGUGAAAACUCAGGGCUCAACCCGGAGACGCCAUCUGAUACUGCGAUAACUUGAGUCUGGUAGGGGAACACGGAAUUCCUGGUGUAGCGGUGAAAUGCGCAGAUAUCAGGAGGAACACCGAUGGCGAAGGCAGUGUUCUGGGCCAGUACUGACGCUGAGGAGCGAAAGCGUGGGGAGCAAACAGG